rnacentral:rRNA from 1 species
UACGUAGGGAGCAAGCGUUGUCCGGAAUCAUUGGGCGUAAAGCGCGCGUAGGCGGCCCCGUAAGUCCGCUGUGAAAGUCAAAGGCUCAACCUUUGAAAGCCGGUGGAUACUGUGGGGCUAGAGUCCGGAAGAGGCGAGUGGAAUUCCUGGUGUAGCGGUGGAAUGCGCAGAUAUCAGGAAGAACACCCGUGGCGAAGGCGGCUCUCUGGGACGGUACUGACGCUGAGACGCGAAAGCGUGGGGAGCGAACAGG